rnacentral:rRNA from 1 species
GAUGAACGCUGGCGGCGUGCCUAAUACAUGCAAGUCGAGCGAACAGACGAGGAGCUUGCUCCUCUGACGUUAGCGGCGGACGGGUGAGUAACACGUGGAUAACCUACCUAUAAGACUGGGAUAACUUCGGGAAACCGGCGCUAAUACCGGAUAAUAUAUUGAACCGCAUGGUUCAAUAGUGAAAGACGGUUUUGCUGUCACUUAUAGAUGGAUCCGCGCCGCAUUAGCUAGUUGGUAAGGUAACGGCUUACCAAGGCGACGAUGCGUAGCCGACCUGAGAGGGGGAUCGGCCACACUGGAACUGAGACACGGUCCAGACUCCUACGGGAGGCAGCAGUAGGGAAUCUUCCGCAAUGGGCGAAAGCCUGACGGAGCAACGCCGCGUGAGUGAUGAAGGUCUUCGGAUCGUAAAACUCUGUUAUUAGGGAAGAACAAAUGUGUAAGUAACUAUGCACGUCUUGACGGUACCUAAUCAGAAAGCCACGGCUAACUACGUG